rnacentral:rRNA from 1 species
UACGGAAGGCAGCAGUGGGGAAUAUUGCACAAUGGGCGCAAGCCUGAUGCAGCCAUGCCGCGUGUAUGAAGAAGGCCUUCGGGUUGUAAAGUACUUUCAGUCGUGAGGAAGGUGUUAAGGUUAAUAACCUUAGUAAUUGACGUUAGCGACAGAAGAAGCACCGGCUAACUCCGUGCCAGCAGCCGCGGUAAUACGGAGGGUGCGAGCGUUAAUCGGAAUUACUGGGCGUAAAGGGCACGCAGGCGGUUAAUUAAGUUGGAUGUGAAAUCCCCGGGCUUAACCUGGGAAUGGCAUUCAAGACUGGUUAGCUAGAGUCUUGUAGAGGGGGUAGAAUUCCAUGUGUAGCGGUGAAAUGCGUAGAGAUGUGGAGGAAUACCGGUGGCGAAGGCGGCCCCUGGACAAAGACUGACGCUCAUGUGCGAAAGCGUGGGGAGCAAAC